CCUGACCUAAGGCGGGAAGCAUAAAAUCCAGGAAGUGCGAGAGGGACGUUGCUGCAGGAGCCAACUACUGAAGCCGUGCGAGAGUGUUUAAGUGGGAUUUAUCUGCGGAAUUGGACAUGUCUGAUGGCGAGCUAGAGUCUGAAGCUUUAUGCCUGGAACCGAACCAACCGAACUGAAUCCACCCAACCGAGCCGGGCGGGUGAUGGAGGACGUCAACCAGCAAGUGUGAAGAAGAGUAUGGACCUUCAUCAUCAUCAUCAUCAUCUUCCUCAUGCUAUGAGAGUGGUUCAGUGAGACGACUGCAGUUUAGAAAUGAGGAAACACUUUCUUCUUCUUCUCCUCCUGCUGGACCUCAGUGUUGUAGUCGUGAGAACAUCAGGACUUCUUCACACUCCUCUUGCUCUGGAAAACACUUUCAAACACCACCAAGAAGGUUCUCCUGCUUCUUCUCCUCCUUCUUCUUCUCCUUGUCCCUCUUCUCCUUCAUCUCCUCCUCUUCUUCCUUCUUCUUCUUCU